AUUGAACGCUGGCGGCAUGCUUUACACAUGCCAGUCGAACGGCAGCGCGGGCUUCGGCCUUGCGGCGAGUGGCGAACGGGUGAGUAAUGCAUCGGAAUGUGCCCAGUAGUGGGGGAUAGCGCGGCGAAAGGCGCAUUAAUACCGCAUACGACCUGAGGGUGAAAGCGGGGGACCGAAAGGCCUCGCGCUAUUGGAGGGGCCUAUGUCGGAUUAGCUAGUUGGGGGGGUAAAGGCUUACCAAGGCGACGAUCCGUAGCUGGUCUGAGAGGACGACCAGCCACACGGGGACUGAGAAACGGCCCAGACUCCAAGGGGAGGCAGCAGGGGGGAAAUUUGGACAAUGGGGGAAACCCUGAUCCAGCCAGGCGGCGGGGGGGAAGAAGGCCUUCGGGUGGUAAACCGCUUUUGUUCGGGAAGAAAGCAUCUGGGCUAAUACCCCGGGGGGAGGACGGUACCGGAAGAAUAAGCACCGGCUAACUAGGU
rnacentral:rRNA from 1 species